UCCAUCUAUACUGUAACAGAAAGUAUGUGGUCUGUCGUGCUUUCGUUGUGAAUAGCUAACUUAUUACCAUGUUAAUACCAUGUUAUUUCCUUGCUCUAAUGUAAAGAAAGUCCUUCUGUAUUUCCCAGACUUUAUCCAGCCGGUAAAGGAGAAGCCAUGGACAGACUCUGCAGUGGCCCGGAGAAUGGUGACCACAGCCCUGGGGCUGCGGAGAGGUGGAGCGCUCUCACAACAUUUCUGACCGCUACAGCAGGUGAGAUGACAUUUCAACGUAGGCACAGAGAUGCAAAGUAAACCACAGAAUCGGGACGACUAAACUGCGUUAUCGGGUCUCGGCAAGAUAUUUUGUUCACAUUGUUGCUCAUCAUCACAUCAUAUUGCUGAGUCUCUGUUUAGGAAAUCAAGAACAUGUCAUGGUUUGCUUGUUUAUUUUUAUUAGAGAAAAUAUGAAGCAAGCACAAAAUGCUUUAAAACAAUCAACUGUGUAUACAGUAUAUGAUAAUCACCCAUCUAGUAAAGAGCACCCUUGUAAAAUAAAGGGCCCUGUAGUUGCAGUGUCACAAAAAUAGAAUGCAAAGAUGCAUUUUCACAUGUCAUUUGUGACUUGUACAAUCGAGAAAACAAACAUAAGAGUCCCUGACGGUAAUAAUUUAAUUUAAUGGAUGUUUGAAAAAUGAACUAAGCUGAGCAGAAUAUGGUGAUAAGACUAAAAUGUAUAUGUAUCUUAGAAUCCUAAGAUGAAAGGUAUUUAAAUAUAUUGCCAGAGUUGAUAUUAGGUGAUGCAAGAUACACUGUUAACUUGAGGCAGAAUCCCAACACAAAUGACAUGAAUAACUAACUCCCUCUCACCUAAAUCAUGCUGUUUGUCGCCGAUUUGGACAGAAGUUUGUGUACAUUUUAACUUGGGGAUUCUGCCUUAAAUGCUCAUUGCCUCUUUAGAGACGUAAAAAUGCAGGUUUGAUGAGAGGGGGGAAAAGUUUAUCCUUAGUGGUAGCUGUAUGGUUGUACAGCAAGAAAACAAUCAGUUCUUCCUUAUUUUAUAUUCACAAUGGCUUCUACUACAUGAUCACGCAAAUAAUCACGCAAAUAAUAUUCUCAGUGGAUGUAAGACUAUUCCGCUAGUCUAAUGCUUCUUAGGUAGUUCUAUGAGUUUUAGUUUAGAAAACAAUCUCCGCAGAAGCGACAGUUACAGGGAUGGUAAAAAGAGAUCUUGAUUGUCGUAGCGACAUCAGGGGAAACUGGGCAGAAGAAAGUUGUUACAGAACUGCUGUAUUUGAAGCACAUCUUUAAUUGAGCCUCUCAUUCUCCUUAAUUGCCGACCUCAACACUUUAAGGAAAGAGACUAACUGUAUAGGAAGCUCUGGGAUAGUGCUGAGCGAUUAGUGAUUUUGGAGGUCUGUUCGGUUUCGGUUAGAUUAUUUAAAAAAUAAUCACAGUUUUGCUAAUUCUUUAAAAACAUUCAAUGCAAUAUGCAUUGUGGGUUGAAUGCUGUUACACAGAAUAAAACAAUGAAUAAAAGUCCCAUGAUGGUAGACUGCCCAUUACUGCUUAUCAAUUACUAACCAUCAUUUAUUCACAUUACUUUAAUAAAAUAUUUCAGUUGUGGUGUAUAUUACAUUUAUUUUUUAUUUUUAUGAAUAUAUUAUUUAAUUCCAAGUCAUCUCUAAAGAGCUGCUGCCUAAUGCUGUCUGAAAAGAAAUCACUAUUUUGCAGUUCUUCAAAUUAAAUGAGGCACACUUUUAUGACGGCUGAAUACCAACUAUCAACCACUUAGAUCAUGUGUUUACCUCACGGAACAACAGCUGCUCUCUAUAUCCCUUAAUGAUCGCGCAUUCUUCUCUCUUGUGUAGCAGUCAUAACAGAAACACAGAACGGAUCUGAUUUAUCUUUAGAGAAACUGUGUGCAGUGAGCUUACAGGAAAAAUAACGGAACUAAAUGAAAUACAAAUAAUUGAUUCAACGUCAGUUGUUGUUGUUUAAAAACCCGAAAAAUAACACAUUUCAGUUAAUCGCUCAGCACUACUAUGGGGACAGGGGGGGGGGGGGGG
rnacentral:lncRNA from 13 species